AGAUCUGCCUGGUGCAAGUGCUAGAGAGAACACAGAUGGAAGGGAGCUCACAGAUGGAAGCCUGCUGAUCACACAGCUGUUUCUUUGUUGGGACUUCCACUGGAGAACGUUCUUAACUCCUUGAACUAUUUAAACUGUCUCUGAAUACUGUUACCAGAAGUAACCCUGCUAACAGUGAAUCCAGCUUGCCUGAAAGAGCUACAUGUUCCUGUGAGGUCUCCCUGGCUAACUCACUGAUAAUUCCACGUAUGAAGGAAAGACAGAUAAAGGUAACUGGAUUUGGUGUAAGUAAUUGCAUUUCACUUUCUCCUCUGAGUCCCUCUCGAUCAGUUGGAUCCAAAUGGAGUAUAAACUCUUUGAAUUCAUUAGAAACUUCACGUGGUGGCCAUCUGUUACAGGUAGAGCAAUCAGCUCCCUCAGUCAUAUCAGUGGCACUGUGGUCCCCAGAACGGCAGCUUCGGUAUCAUCACCCAAGAACUUGGUGGGAAUUCAGAAUCUCUGGCCCUGUUUCAGACACAUUGAAUCGUAGACUCCUGGCCAUGUGUGUUGUAACAAACUCUCUGGUGAUUCCGACGCGCACUACGUUUAAGGGCUGCUGCAGUACCUUUCUGCUUCUCACAGCAUAAUGGGCAGAAGCACUAGCAUCACCAGAGGACUUGUGAAAAUGCCGAAUCUUGGACCCCAACUCAGACCAACUGAGGCAGGUUCUGCAUUUUUACAAAAUCCCCAGGAUAUUCAUAUGUACAGGAAAGUUUGAGAA